CCUACGGGAGGCUGCAGUCGAGAAUCAUUCACAAUGGGGGAAACCCUGAUGGUGCGACGCCGCGUGGGGGAAUGAAGGUCUUCGGAUUGUAAACCCCUGUCAUGUGGGAGCAAAUUAAAAAGAUAGUACCACAAGAGGAAGAGACGGCUAACUCUGUGCCAGCAGCCGCGGUAAUACAGAGGGCUCAAGCGGUGUUCGGAUUCACUGGGCGUAAAGCGGGCGUAGGCGGUUUCGUAAGUCGUGUGUGAAAGGCGCGGGCUCAACCCGCGGACGGCACAUGAUACUGCGAGACGAGAGUAAAGGAGGGGGAACCGGAAGUCUCGGUGUAGCAGUGAAAUGCGUAGAUA
rnacentral:rRNA from 1 species